rnacentral:rRNA from 1 species
UACGUAGGGUGCGAGCGUUAAUCGGAAUUACUGGGCGUAAAGCGUGCGCAGGCGGUUUGGUAAGACAGAUGUGAAAGCCCCGGGCUCAACCUGGGAAUGGCAUUGGAAACUGGCGGACUCGAGUGUGGCAGAGGGGGGUGGAAUUCCGCGUGUAGCAGUGAAAUGCGUAGAGAUGCGGAGGAACACCGAUGGCGAAGGCAGCCCCCUGGGUUAACACUGACGCUCAGGCACGAAAGCGUGGGGAGCAAACAGG